UCGUGCAUAUAUUAAAGUUUCUUGUGGUAAUAAAUAAUUAUUUGUGUGUUUGUACUUAUUUUUCUAGAAUAUUUUUUAUAUGUGGAUAAUUUUAAUUUUUCUACUUUAAACUAAAACCUUUUACAUAUCAUUGUGCUUUGGUUGAUUGGAGUCGUUAUGUCCAGUCAAUUUGGAUUCAAAAUUGGAUCUUCAAACCAUGUUCAGUAAGUGAUGAAGGAAAUAUUGAUUAGAUUGAAUAAGUUGAUUAAAUGCUAGGUUACAUAUCUUGCAACUAAGGAGGCACUUUUUGAGUUUUACUUUAUCGUGAAGCUCUUUAAGUAUAUUAUAUCUAAGGAUGCGAAUUCCCAUAUAGACUUUACUUUGAAAUCUAAAUUAUAAUGUUGUAGUGGUGUAGAGAGGGGCUUUAAGGGUAAAUCUUACCCGAGGCUUGUGAAAAUGGUUCAAUUUUCUACACUAACCCAAGAUCCAAGCGAACUUUCUCAGCUUGAGCUGCAUCAUCCUUUGUUCUUGACAACUGGAAAAAUGUGUUAUCAGCUCCCUAACCAACUGCAAUCAUUCAACUUGGUAUGACCUCAUAAUUUACUAGAAUAAACACACCAUCUUUGGUGAAUCUGAUUAUCUUAUGUUUCAAACUCUGAGAACUUUUACCUUGUCAUUCUAUUGGAAUACCAAACACACCUGAAGUAGAAGUGGGACCAAGUUCACAAACAGAACCAACUUGAUUAGUCAAAGUUUGAGCACUUUCUACAUUUAGUCUUAACUGUUGCCUUUAUCCAAAUGUUUCCUUUAGUGUUGCCUUUAUUUAUUUAUUUUAAUGUAUCAACUAGGGAAUCUCUUUUCAAAAAAAAAACUAGGGAAUCUUGUGAUGUCACAAGGUUUGGGAUGUAACUGUGUGCUUUGGCAAAAAUAAAACAUAAAAAUAAAAUAAAAAGAAAGGCAAAGAAAAGAAAAGAAAUGAAAACCCAUAGCUCUGAUAAGCAGUUGUUCAAUUUGGCUGGACUGUAUUGCAUAUUAGAGUAUAGUUGUUUUCCUUUGGGUCAAUCUGAUGAGUUUGUUGCUUUCCUUUCAUUUUUUUCUCUGUAAAAUUCCAAAAUUGUUGUUGUUAAUAUCAUUAUGCGGCAUGACAGAGGUCAUUGUCUAAUGGGAAACUAACCAGAAGAACUGGGGGAACAUCAGCUAGAAGGCCAAGUCCAGCUUCACUAAAACGAGGUUCCGAAAAGAGAAAGGUCUCUACCACCAUGGUAUUCCUAUUUUUUCAUAGAUUUGGAUUAUUUUAAAACUUUUCAUAAAUAUCUUUUUAUGGUAAUAUUUGUGGGAAGCUCAAGUUUUUAAGUGAUACAAUUAUAUUUUUUCUUAAGCUCAAGUUUGCUUUCUAUUUGAAGGUUCUUUUUUCCCAGCUUGAGAAAGUAGGUCUUCAUGGGUUUUGUGGUUAGAGGUAGCAAAAGGGAUUCAAUAGAUAGCAGCACUAGAACUAAUAUUGCGAUCUACAUAGAAGAAUGAGGCAAUGGAAGUAGGAGAAAUCCAUUAUGUACUCACAAGAGUUGGUGGAGAGAUGCUACGUAGUUUUUGUUUUGUCUUCUCAAUAGGUCACUUGUGUCCAUCUGAGAUUGCUUUUUACAUUCUGACAGAUGCUUCUCUAUUCAUAGAUGCAGGAUAAGCUGUCAAAUUCAAAUAAUUGAGCAGGGGAGCUAAUAAAGCAACUUCCUCUUGUUGGCUAGGUAUGCAGAUAUACUUGUGAUCUUUCCAAAUCUUGUGCUUACAUAAUCUGUUAUAAAGGAGGAUUUUUUUCCUUGAUGCUAUGCCUUGCAGUUAACUAAAGUGUAGAUUACAUGCUUGUACUGAAGUUCAUUAAUAACAAAGUCAUGUUUAAUGUUACACCAUGUAAGAAGGUUGGGCGAAUCUGAACACCACGAAAAAUUGAGAACAACUUUAUGUCAAAAGAAGCAGGUCGGUUUAUGAUCUUACUGUUUGUGAAUUUCUCUGGAUUAAGAUUGCAGGUCAUGAAAUAUAGUAUUGCUGAUCUCACAUUUACAUAGUCUUCUAGGUGAAUGAAAGUCUAUUUCCAUGUGCACUAUCCAAGGAAAACACCAACUUGGCUGAGGAAGCUGUACAAUUAGCUGUCAAAACAUGGGGUCAGCGGUCAUUAACUGAACUUGAAGCAGAGGAACGACUAUCUUAUUCUUGUGAAAAGGUGAAGUUUAUUGGGGAUAUUGAUCAAUCCUCAGCAGAUGAUCAUUAAUAAACAUAAGAUGUGACUGUAUAUUAAUUAUAUUUCUACACGACUUAAUCUGAUAUUAUCCUUGGUUGUAGGAUACUAUUUAUAUAUGAAUCUUGACUAGUUUAUUUCCCCCCAAAUAGUGAAGCAUUCUUGAUUUUUAGGGUCCAGUUCAGGAUGAAGUAAUAGCAAAGCUGCGCAAUGCCUUUAUAGAAAUUGGUAAAGAAUACAAGGUCUACACUGAUGAAGAAAGGAAGAAGGUAGCUUCUGUUCCUUCAUUAUUUUCAUUGUCAUUUUUGUUUAUUACUGUGAAUUACAAACAAAAAAUUUCAGUUGUUACCGCUGAGAUCAAAAUGAACUGCUAGUGUAGCAGAAAAACGUGAUGAAACAAUUGGUCUUUUAUUUCUUUCUUGUAGUCCUAAAGCCUUAUAUCAGCAUAUUUGUUUUCUUAUUCUUCGUUUUAUUGAAAUUGAAUUUUGGUGUUUCUAUUGCAGCAUGAAGUUUACAUACCCAACCUUGAUUUUCUUGAAGAAAAUGACGAUGAAGUGGAUCUAACAUGUCACACUUUAUUCCUUCUAGUUCAUUGUUAUUCUUUCAGUUUUCUUAUGUUAGUUAAUAAAUUUUGUAGGUACUAUGGUCCUUGUGAGACCAAGAUACAAUGACAAAUUUUGUAGUUAUUGUGACUCGAGUAUUAUGAUCUAUUUAUAUGAAAGUUUUGAUUUUAUUAGCUCUUUAUGCGUUAGCUUAUCAAUUAGUUUGAAAAAGUAUGGCAAUAUUUAUAUUUACUUGAAAAGUAAAUUUAAUAUUUCUUAUAGAGAUUAAUAAUAAUAAUAAUAAAUAUGAAAUCAAUGAUUUAAAAAUUAAUUAUAAUUUUUAAUGAAUUUUGAUUAUUUAGCAAUUAAUUUUUUAUUUAAAAAUUUAAAAAUUGUGAAGGAAUUUCUCUCUCACUAAUUUGAAGAAAUAUUCUCAAUUUAUAAUUAGUGAAGGAAAAUAUUCUCUCGUUAAAUAAAUUUGUUCCUCACGAUAUAUUAUUUGUGAGGGAAUCAAGUUAUUCACUAAUUUCAAAUAGUCCUUCUUAAAAUAUUAUUUGUGAAGGAAACCAAUCUUUCACUAAAUAACAAUAUUCCAUUACUAAAUACAAUUUGUGAAUAAAAAAGUUAUUCACAAUAUAUCCUUCACAAAAAACAUUUAGUUACUACUUAGCGAAGGAUACCCAAUUGCGAGGGGGUCUAAUGCGAGCACUCGUGUGAAGGAAAUAUUCCUUCGCAAUAAAUCACUUGUGAGUGAUAUAGGGCCUCUAGUGAAGGAUUUGUCCUUCACUAGAGGCCAUUUUUGGUGUAGUGAAAAACUCAAAGAUUUUUUCUGAUAAAAGAGUACCGGUAUGUGGUGGGGGGAAAUGACAGAAAUUUAUAAUCCUACUGUGCAACACACAAUCAUGAUCAAUAAAGUGAAUGGUCAAACAAAUAUAACCUUCACUAGUACCGGACGACCACAAAUCGGAAGUGAGACAAAUUCUUCCGCGGAUGUUCUCAAACGCACGUUUCAAUUUUGCUUUCUCAAGCUUAUAAAUUUUAAUACAAUCCGCUUUGGCAGUGUUUCUAGUAUACGAUUUCACAUCCAAAUUCAAAUAGUUAUGCACUCUUCAUAAUCCUUCAUGUUCAACAAUCAAGAAUGGAUAGUUAUGCAUCAUGAUUGCUUCAGCCAUUUUAUCUCUAUAAAUGAGCUGACUAAAUUUUCUAUUAAGCAUUUUUCCUUCAUGAUUUAGAUGCAUUUGAGUCACAUUUUGGUUAACUAAACCGGGACAUGACUUUUCAUGUGCAUGCAAAUUUCUAGUCCCAUGAGAACUACCACCAUCUCCAAUAGCAUAACUUUUUGUGCAUGUUUUACAAUAUGCUCUUAACUUUUUGGUUGAAGGAUCUACCUUUUUUCAUAUUGAUUCCAAAUUGAACUUUCUUCCCUUUGUUUUCUCUUCGAACUAUCAAUUGGUUGUGUCAAAUUGUCCGAGCUUUCAACUCCCCCAUCAAUCAAAUCAAUUGUUACACGAUCCAUAAGAACUCUACAAACAAAAUAUAUAAAGGAUUAUACAAUCAGAAUAGAAUUAGAAUAGAGUGAAAAUGUUCAUCAUAAUUAGAAUCAGAAUAGAGUGAAAAUGUUCAUCAAUUUCAAAUCUCUCAACUACUAAGAGGAGUCAAGAAAUGGGAACAAAUCAAUUGAAACCCAGUGUAUGUUCAUUCUUCUUCUCUGUCUCAAAACAUAUGUAGUAUAUAAAACAUAUGUAGUAUAUAAAUACUAAAUUCAGAACAAAACAUAUGUAGUAUAUAAAUACUAAAUUCUUAUCUGGUAGAAUUUCACAAUCUUGAUUUUUGGGUUUCUCAUUUUCUGCAAGUGAAAAGUAGGACAAAAUUUUUGGAUUUAAGCUACAUAAACCUAUAAAGGAAAAAAUUACACUGAGUCAAAUAAUAGAAGUUGGUUCAGACUUUAGUGUUCAGAUUUUCCAUAUAUGUAAUCUAUAUACGUAUCUAACUCGAACAUGGAAAAAUAUAAAGGAAAAAAUUACAUUGAGUCACUGAGAUAUAUUAUAUUAUGACCAGAAAAAAUGAAAAAUCAUAUAAAGGAAAAAGUCAAACCUUCUCAAUCGUCGAGGUCGAUUGAUCGAAGUAUCUAACUAUCGAAGAGAAGAAGAAGAAGAAGCUUCAUAGUUCACAGUCGGCAACUCGGCGUGGAUUCGGGACGAAGAUAAGAAGCUUCAGUGCUUCACAGUCGUCGUCGUCGUCUUCACAAUCGAACUAUCGAACUCUCUUAGACUCUUACUCUUAGACUCUCUGCUCUCAAGACUCAAAGUCUUAGUCUCAAUUUACAGAUCUAGAUCUAGAAAAAAAAAAUUGCAACUGCCGUCCUA
rnacentral:lncRNA from 1 species